GCAUCCUCCCUUCUCCCCACUUCUCCCUCUCCCUCCUUCCAUCCCUCCUUCCUCUUUUCCCUUUCUCCUAUACCCUCUCCCUUUCACGUGUCUGUUAUAGAGAAUGUAGGCAAAUCACUGGCCCAUUGUGCAUGUUCAGUUGAGAAACAUUGCAUUUAUUUUAACUGUUUCUUUUUGAGACUGAAAUUCUUUCUUUUGACUAUUAGGGAUUUUUUUUCCAGUUCCAAGAAAAUAUCCAGAGAAAUUAUUUUUGACCUUGUAUUCAAUCUAUAUAUUUAUUUAGGUAAACCAAUAUGUUUAUAAUAUAAUGUUAGGAGUAACACUCAAAAUCCUAAGGAAAUUGAUCUCGGACAAAGGAUUCUUAGCAAAGCAAUUUUACUUCUGUGCAGAGGGGUGCCUCCUUGGCCAGUCGCCAUGAGAGCACACCUGAACAAAGGGGCACGAGGGCCUUUAUUCCUGACACAAGUCCUGCUCCUGUGUACAUUCCCCAUUGGUCGGGGUCGGGUCGUACAAUCUAAACUAAUCUCGGUUGGCUAAACAUUUGAUUUUUUUUAGGUAAGGUGGGCACAUAAAAGAAAAUGGAGAGGAAGGGGAAGGGGUGUCUGUAAUGAGGUAGAAAGUUAGUCCUCUUCUCAGAUAAGGAAAGGAUGUCAGCUGGUACUGAUAAUGCCUGGUACUGUGGCGUGCCUGGGCAUCUAACAAAGGCAAAAAGGGAAAAAGGAGAAAAAGGGUGGGGGUACUAUGAAUUAAAGAAUAAAAUAUAGAUCAGAUUAUUUGAAGAGAAACCUCAUCAUAUCCCACAGUAACAUGAAUAGCACCAUCCAGGAAUGAAUUAUAUUUUACUUUUAUUCAAAUUUCUUGUAAUUUGUCCCAAAGUUUGAUGCUUUGUUUAUAAAGCCACUCACAUGAAGAUAUAUGUUUAGUAUAAUAAUUUGUACACUUUGCUAUAAUUUAGAUUAGAUUUCUUUGUAUUUUAGUAAUGCGCAAGGAAAUUAUUAUUUUAUU
rnacentral:lncRNA from 1 species